rnacentral:rRNA from 1 species
UGGGGAAUAUUGCACAAUGGGCGAAAGCCUGAUGCAGCAACGCCGCGUGCGGGAUGACGGCCUUCGGGUUGUAAACCGCUUUCAGCAGGGACGAAGCGCAAGUGACGGUACCUGCAGAAGAAGCACCGGCUAACUACGUGCCAGCAGCCGCGGUGAUACGUAGGGUGCGAGCGUUGUCCGGAUUUAUUGGGCGUAAAGAGCUUGUAGGCGGUUAGUCGCGUCGUAAGUGCAAACUCAGGGCUUAACCCUGAGCCUGCUUUCGAUACGGGCUGACUAGAGGAAGGUAGGGGAGAAUGGAAUUCCCGGUGGAGCGGUGGAAUGCGCAGAUAUCGGGAGGAACACCAGUGGCGAAGGCGGUUCUCUGGACCUUUCCUGACGCCGAGAAGCGAAAGCGUGGGGAGCAAACAGGCUUAGAUACCCUGGUAGUCCACGCCGUAAACGGUGGGUACUAGGUGUGGGGGACAUUCCACGUUCUCUGUGCCGUAGCUAACGCAUUAAGUACCCCGCCUGGGGGAGUACGGCCGCAAGG